rnacentral:lncRNA from 1 species
UCCAUCUCUCAGUUUCUCUCCAUCUCAAAUUAUCGAUUGCUCCCAAGUCCCGACUCCUAACCUCGGACUGCUACGAUCUUCUCCUACCGGUCAUUGUUCUUCUCGAUUGUUACCCUCCAUCUCGGAUUGCCUCUCUAGCUCUCUCGCCUAUUGUAUCAAUUGGGGGUUGUGGAAUUGUUGCUUCAAUUUUCAAAUAUGAUAUAUGACCUCUCAAUCUCUCAUAGACUGUGAGUGUGAUUGUGAGUGUGUUUGAUUUGGCCAUUCCAAGUCAUGGAUUGCACUAUUAGUUGUUAUUUAGUUAUAUUUCUACUUAAUUUCAGUUGCUAAUGACCUCUUUCCAAUUAAGAGAGAUUAAUUUGACUUAAUUUUUUUGUUUUUGGUAAUAAAUCGCUAAUGUUUGUAUAACUUUGGGUAAAUUUUGUUUGAGGGAAUUUCAUAGGCAUUUAUGGUAAUUUCUAGUACCUCAUUUUUAGGUAAUUAUAAAAUCCCACUGUUGCAGUUCGGAGUGAAAAGUUGACACCAAGCAUGUACAGGGUAAGGAAAAAUUGAAGUAUUAUCAUUAUAUUCCCUAUUGUCUUGAAUCUUUGUAGAAUUUUUUUUGGCAACUGAUGAAUGGGAAAAUGUUACAAGUAUAAUUGUAGGCUAUGUGUUUGUGGAAUUGUCUAACUGUAAUAAUACAUGUAUCAAGCUGAAAGUAUCACAUCUCUUGUAGUUAUAGUCUUAUUGAUGUAUGUAAAUUGAAGUUUUUAAAUUAGUAUAUGUAAUUUAUAUAAAAGACAUCAUUCUGAGGAACAGAGCAUGUUGUUGCUGCUACUGUUGGGUUGCUGCUGCAGUGCUGCUGAUAUUUCUUUUUUAUUAUGAUUGUGUUUUCUUAAUUUGUUAUUAUGAUUGUGUUUUGUUAUUCAGCAGCUUAACAAGUGAAUGACUGAGAACCAAAGCAAUGCCAACAGUGGGAGACUGGGAGCAAUUGGAAGG